CCCUUAGAUGUUCUGGGCAGCACGCGCGCUACAAUGGUCUUCGCAAACGGAUGCAUUCUCGAAGGAGAAUGCCAAUCUUGGAAUCUAUGCCUUGGUCGGGACAGUUGCUUGCAAUUUUUCGACUCGAACCAGGAAUUCCUUGUAAUCGUGAUUCAUCACAUCACGAUGAAUACGUCCCUGCCCUUUGUACACACCGCCCGUCGCUCCUACCGAUCGAAGAGUUAGGUGAAUUGUUUUGAUCGAUAAGAUUUGACUAUGGUCAACUCUCGUUGUGAAGUUCUGUGAAUCUGACUGUUUAGAGGAAGGAAAAGUCGUAACA
rnacentral:rRNA from 1 species